UGGCUAAUUCGGUUUACCAUUUGUUUGUUUGUAUCGCAUCGUUGGUUCCAACAGCAACAACAACAACAACAGUGGCUGUAUAGUAAGAAGAGGGAAAAUGAAUGACCUGUGUGAAUUGUGAAUAAAUGAUGAUGGUAAGAUGAUGGCCAUUACACAACCAGAAGAAAAAAAACUGAUCAUUUCGAUUCGAAUAUAAUGGCUAUAUUUAUACUGAUGACUUUCUUGGUACAAUACCUGGAAUCGAAUAAAACUAGAUCAUUAUGGUAUAUGCCUCAUAACUGCUAUUCACAAAGCUACUGGCCAUUCAUUCAGAGAACCAUAUUAUUCAACGAAUCGAUGAUGAUAAUGAUUCAAUCAAUCAAUCAAUCAACAAACAAAUAAAAUCAUAUUAUAACACUUGAAUGCUUGUUUGAUUAUUAUUUUGAAAAUUUUUUCUUUUUUUCAUCAUUUCAACAGAAAUAUUAUUGACAUUCGAACAGAAAAAUAAAAUAUGAUGAUGAUGAUGAUCAACAAUAUUGUCACAACCACCAACACAUCGAUGUUGAAAUAGCCAUUUUCAAACAUAGUCCUAUUUUUUUUUGAUUCCAUAAAUAAAGAAUCUUUAUUUUCAUUCAAAAAUUUCUCAAACUAAACUACCACGACGCGACGCACCUUUCUUUGCACCACAGACAAUCAUCUCAUCUCAUCAAUAUACAAAACUGACAGACAGAUUGUUGAAAAGUUUAAAAAAUUCAUUUUUGUGUGUCCAUGGUCAGAAAAGAACGAAUGAAAAAGGGUCAUAUCAUCAUCAUCAUCGUGAGAACAUCGAUAGUUUUCGAAUGAAUUUCUACAAUCUCGAUGUAUCGAUAUUGAUGGUGUGUCAGCGUGUGUGGUUGUGUUCUACAUUUUGACUUCCGAAUAACAACAACGGACUUUCAAUCAUUCUUCAUCUCAGACUUGUUCAUGUACCAAUUGGACAAAGACUAAUUGGUGGUGGCCACAUAUAUUGUCAAUAUACAUGAAUAUAUGACCAGCGACAAGUCAAUUUGUUAUUAUAUGAAUGAAUGUUCUCUACAGCCAAUUAUGAAUCGACAAAUUUUUCUUCUUUCUUUUCGUUCGUUUUUGAGAGACCCACGAUAAUUUAUAAUCACUUUCCAUAUGUUUAUAAUCACUUUCUUGUUCAUAAAUUACAAAUUCAUAUGUACAGGGGCCAAUUUUGUUUCAUCUCUUUACAAAUUGAUGAUGAUGAUAAUUUGCAACGGUUUCAACCAACCGAUCAUCAUGACAGGUAACAAUAACCAAAAAAAAAAAAUCGAUCGAUCCAUUUUCAAUCAAUGAUGAUGAUGAUGAUGAUG